rnacentral:rRNA from 1 species
UACGGAGGGUGCAAGCGUUAUCCGGAUUCACUGGGUUUAAAGGGUGCGUAGGCGGGCAAUUAAGUCCGUGGUGAUAUACCUGAGCUUAACUUGGGAACUGCCAUGGAUACUAUUUGUCUUGAAUGUCGUGGAGGUUAGCGGAAUAUGUCAUGUAGCGGUGAAAUGCUUAGAUAUGACAUAGAACACCAAUUGCGAAGGCAGCUGGCUACGCAUAUAUUGACGCUGAGGCACGAAAGCGUGGGGAUCAAACAGG